UACGUAGGUGGCGAGCGUUGUCCGGAUUUAUUGGGCGUAAAGGGCGUGUAGGCGGCCUGUUAAGUCGGAGGUGAAAACCCGGGGCUCAACCCCGUGCAUGCCUCUGAUACUGAUGGGCUUGAGUGCUCUAGAGGGCAGUGGAAUUGCCGGUGUAGCAGUGAAAUGCGUAGAGAUCGGCAGGAACACCAGUGGCGAAGGCGGCUGCCUGGGGAGUAACUGACGCUGAGGCGCGAAAGCUAGGGGAGCAAACAGG
rnacentral:rRNA from 1 species